AACGAACGCUGGCGGCAGGCUUAACACAUGCAAGUCGAACGGCUGUAGCAAUACAGCAGUGGCAGACGGGUGAGUAACACGUGGGAACCUUCCUAGGGGUACGGAACAACUCAGGGAAACUUGAGCUAAUACCGUAUACGUCCGUAAGGAGAAAGAUUCAUCGCCCCUAGACGGGCCCGCGUCGGAUUAGGUAGUUGGUGGGGUAACGGCCUACCAAGCCUACGAUCCGUAGCUGAUCUGAGAGGAUGAUCAGCCACACUGGGACUGAGACACGGCCCAGACUCCUACGGGAGGCAGCAGUGGGGAAUCUUGGACAAUGGGCGCAAGCCUGAUCCAGCCAUGCCGCGUGAGUGAAGAAGGCCUUAGGGUUGUAAAGCUCUUUUACCAGGGACGAUAAAUGACGGUACCUGGAGAAUAAG
rnacentral:rRNA from 1 species